rnacentral:rRNA from 1 species
GACGAACGCUGGCGGCGUGCUUAACACAUGCAAGUCGAACGGUGAAGCGCCUUCCUUUUUGGUGGGUGUGGAUGAGUGGCGCACGGGUGAGUAACACGUGAGUAACCUGCCCCCUUCUUCUGGAUAACCGCAUGACAGUGUGCCUAAUACGGGAUAUUCUGGGUCUGUCGCAUGAUGGGUCUGGGAAAGAUCUUGUUUCGGUGGGGGAUGGGCUCGCGGCCUAUCAGCUUGUUGGUGGGGUGAUGGCCUACCAAGGCGGUGACGGGUAGCCGGCCUGGGAGGGUGGACGAUCACACUGGGGCUGAGACACGGCGCAGACUCCUACGGGAGGCAGCAGUGAGGAAUAUUGCACAAUGGGCGCAAGCCUGAUGCAGCGACGCCGCGUGAGGGAUGGAGGCCGGCGGGUUGUGAACCUCUUUCGCCAGUGAAGCAGGCCUGCCUCGUUUGUGGGUGGGUUGACGGUAGCUGGAUAAGAAGCGCCGGCUAACUACGUG